CUCUCUCUCUCCCUCCUUCCCUCCUAAUUGCAAUCUUUUAAACUACACCAACAAAAUAUCUCUGGCUAGUAACUUACCGACUACGGUUCUGUGACCUGUCUUAAACUAGUUUUUAGUGGUUGGGUAUGACAUGCACUGAUGUUUUAAAUAUAUUCCCUCAAGCUGUUAGAAAUGAAAGAGAUGGGGGAAGAGGAGCCUAGUAGUGUAAGUAGUCUUGAAGGCUUUGAGGAUGGACCCCUCCCUCAUCCCCCCACCUCCUAUUUCCCUGGUAGCUCUAAAAAGUUAAAUAACUCCUUUGCCUCCAUUACCUCCACCCUUAAGAGUUAAUCCAGACCUGGGCAUGGUGGCACAUCCCAGCACUAAGGAGGCAGAGACAAGGGUAUCGCUGAGUCCAAGUUCGGUAUGGUCUAUAUAGCAAAUUCCAGCCAGAACUAAAAAAACGGGAAGACGGUGCUGGAGUUGGCUUAACAGGCAAAGACAAAAUGCCACCAAGCCUACCUGAGUUCAAUCUUCAGGAAACACACACAGUGGAAGAGAGAACCAAUUUCUGCAAUAUCAUCCGAUACAUACACACACAAAGUAUUUUUUAAAGAUUCAUUUGUAAAAUUUUACAUGUACGUAUAUGAAUAUUUUGCCUACAUGUAUGUAUAUGUUGGGGUCCAGGAGUCGCCCCACAAACCACACAAACACCCAUCUCAGUCAGACAGGGAUGGUUUAUUGAAUGAACACCUUAAGAUUGAUCAAUCAAGGGGUUGGGGAUUUAGCUCAGUGGUAGAGCGCUUACCUAGGAAGCUCAAGGCCCUGGGUUCGGUCCCCAGCUCCAAAAAAAAGAACCAAAAAAAAAAAAAAAAAAAGAUUGAUCAAUCAAGAGGUUGGGGAUUUAGCUCAGUGGUAGAGUGCUUGCCUAGCAAACGCAAGGCCCUGGGUUCAGUCCUCAGCUCUGGAAAAACACACACACACACACACACACACACACACACACACACACACAACACAAGAUUGAUCAAUCAAGGUUGCAGCUCAGAAUUCCAGGGCUGAGCUACAACUACAAACAUUUCUCAGAGCAGCUUAUAAAGGAAAAAACACAAAAGCACAGUGAGUUCAUUCCCGGGUGCAGGAAGUGCUGCCGGGUGGUCAGCUCUGACAGAAACCAUUUUAGACUUAAGAGCUCAUUUUGACAUUUAAUUUGAUGGGUACUACAUAAAACUUUGUGGAAUUUCUUAACAUUAUCAAACUUUGUACCGAACAUAACAAGAUAUGUAAUCAGCAUGACUUUGUUCUGAGUCAAGUUCUUUUCUGUGUCAGUGACUGGCAGGCACAUUACAGCAACAAUAUGAAAUAGCUGGCAGGCAUGGAACAAAAUGACUACAGCUAUGCAGGGUGGAGUUGGCAGACCUCAACAUAUAUAUGCACACCAAUGGAUGCUUGUUGCUUAAGGAGGCCAGAAAGGAGGGUCAGAUCCCUCAGAACUGGAUUUAGAGAUGGAGACAAGCCUCAUGAAACUUAGGCCCUCUGCAGGAGCAAAUGUUUUUAACCAUUUCUCUGGCUCCCUAAAAACAAAAACCAAAAAACAAUUUGUAAUGGCCAUUCCUGGUUGUCAACUUGACUAUAUCUGGAAUGAACUACAAUACAGAAUUGGAGGGCUCACCUGUGAUCCAGAUCCUGAGGCUGGGAGAUACAAGUUUCUGACCUGAAUCUUGGUAUGGAAAUCCUGAGGCAUAGUGGCUAUGAAAAGCUUAGACUCGAUCAAGGUAGUGCAUGCCUUUAAUCCCAGGAGACUGAGGCAAGCAGAUCUCUGAGUUCAAAUCCAGUCUUGCUUUGGGAUUACAGUUAAGUGAUUGGAUGAAUCUCAGAAACGACCUUGAACUUUGGACUUUAACAUUGUCAAGACUGCUAUAGACUGUGGGGCUUUGGAAGCUGGACUAAAUGCAUUUUUUAUUAUGUUAUGGCUAGAUAUGACUCUCAUAGACUCAUGUGUUUGAACAAGCCUAUGAGGGCCAGGGAGUGAAAUGUGAUGGUUUGUAUAUGGUUGACUCAGGGAGUGGCCUUGUUGGAUUAGAUAUGCCACUGUGGUUGUAAGACCUUUACCCUAGCUGCCUGGAAGUCAGUUUUCUACUAGCAGCCUUCAGAUGAAGAUGUAGAACUCUCAGCUCCUCCUGCACCAGGCCUGCCUGGAUGCUGCCAUGCUCCCACCUUGAUGAUAGUGGACUGAACCUCUGAACCUGUAAGCCAGCUCCAGUUAAUUGUUGUCCUUUAUAAGACUUGCCUUGGUCACGGUGUCUGUUCACAGCAGUAAAACCCUAAGACAAUCAUCAUCAUCAUCAUCGUCGUCGUCGUCGUCCUGAAUAUAUACCCCAGACUGUCAAUCACUUGGCCAACUCCAUCCCUUAAAUCUGAUUCACCUGAAAUUAUGCUAAAGAGAUGGGAGAAAUACUUAUCUUUCCCAGAAACCAUAGUUCAUUGUACCCCCCACCCAACCAACUGGGGCUAUAGAAGAAUGGCAGCUGCAAUAGUAGCUAUUUUGUUGACAAUUUCAUGAGAUUUAUAAUCACCAUGGAAACAAAGCUCUAAGCAUGUCUGUGAGAAUUUCUAGACUAACCACCCUAAAUGUAGAUUGGCACAAUCCUACAGACAGGGUCUUGGACUAAAUAAAAAACAGGAACCAGGAGCUGAAGAGUUGGCUCAGUGGUUAAGAGCACUGACUGCUCUAUCAAAGGACCUGGGUUCAAUUUCCAGCACCCAUAUGGUAGCUUACAAGUAUUUGUAACUGCAGUCCAGCACCCUCUUCUGUGGACACUGCACGUACAUGGUACACAGUCAUAUAGGCAAGCAGAACAUCCAUACACAUAAUAAAUAUGUUUGCGGGUGAGUACCUAUCUAAGAACCAGCACUUACUGGUGUUUUUCUAAAACAUUUUAUGUAUCACAGUAGCACUCAUCUCUUCUUUGUAUCCACCCUACCUCCAAAAAGAAAAUAAAAAACAAAACUAAAAAAAAAUUAAAUACAACAUAACAAACAUCUUGUCGUGGAAGCAGUAGUGUGUUCUGGGUCUCACUGUCCUUGUGGAUUGUGAGCCGAUUUGAUCCACAAGGACAAAGGGAGCAGAGAGAGUGGAGGGGCGGGGAGCCCUGUGAGUAUGUAUGGUAAAUAAACCACACCAAGACUGCUUGUCAGUAGGGAGAUCAACUUUAUGGUGAGUGAAGGCUUAUAAGGCUUGGGGGACUGAGGGCAGGGACAUGAGGAUGGGAAAAGGUUUUAGGAUACCUGGAAUUCCUCACUGGUGUGGGGAAGUCAUUCAGGAAUCUCAGGUGCUGGCUGAACAGGUUCUGUCAGAAGAAAGGAAAUUGAUCCCGUAAUCUAAUUGAGGCUACAUAGCAUGCCUCAGGUAGAUGUGGGGGCUUAGAAUUCCUUAGACAAAGUCAGAGGAGAAACUCUGCUUGUUAAGGAGGGAGUCCUCCAUUAUACACACAACUCCGGAAGGCUAUCUGGUCAAUCCAACCGUAAUUAGCAGUUUUCACAGUGUGUCAUUGUGUGUCCCACAGCAUACUCCUUUGUCCACACAUCUUUACUUGCAAAUGUUCAUGCAAUGAGUCAUUGGUCUGGUUUGAGGCUGCUGGUUUCUGCUAAUCUAUCUAGAAUGGAUUCUCACUGGGACUCCUCUCAUAUAUCCUGUUGUUGCCCUGUGUCAUAGAACUGCAGGACUUUCACAUGCCCCAGCACUUCAGAUGUUGGGGUGGGCCGACUCAAAGCCUUGGAUCUGGGCCUGGGUCGUAGCCCACCAGCUCUCCCACACCCAUACCAUCAGGGCAAGCUCUGGGGUACUGUCCCAGCCAGCUCCCACAAUGUCAUUGCUGGCAAGGGACAGAGCCAGCUCUUCUGAUCUCAUGCCCUCAGGACUACCUCAUCUGUUCCCACAAAGCAAUGCUGUACAAUCAAGGGCCUGUUCUGAGUGUGCAGCUUGUGAGGGGCUGGGCUAGCUCUCAUUCCUGCUCUCACACCCUCAGGGCCAGCUUGCAUGGCUAGCCACCAGGUCCAUCUCUACUGUGCUGCUCAGGCAAGGUGCGGGACCCACUCUCCGGAGUGCUGCAGUCAGCAAGGGACAGGGCCAUUUCUCCUGAUUUCAUGCCCCUUGGGCCUGCUCUUCCACAGCUCGGGUGAUGAGGAAGGAGCCUUCCUUGGAUCACUGCUGUUACAGUCGUGUAUAGAAGUACACUGAACCUGAAGAAAGGCUGUCUGCAGCAUUAGACUGUAGUCUGCCCAGUCCUUCCAGGUCCUCAAGCCCCAGGUCUCACAGACACAGAUCUGCGUAGGGUGGCCAGAGAGUCAACACACUACCACAGCUUUCUUUUUAAAGAGGAGGAAACAGGCUUGCCUCCACCCCUUCCUUCUUUUCCUUCUAGUUUUUUGUUUUGUUUUGUUUAAGAAGAUGUUACUCUGUCUUGGCUGUCCUGGAACUCAAUUUGUAUACCAGGAUGGCCUCAAACUCACAGAGCUCCCCUGCCUCUACCUCUGAGGUGCUGAGAUUAAAGGCGAGUUUCAGCAGACCAGCCAUGCACUCUUCUUACUACCUGCAGAACCUAAAUAGUGAAGGUGGGAUGGUCUGCAUAUGCUUGGCCCAGUGGGUGGCACUAUUAGAAGGCGUGGCCUUGUUGGAGGAAGUGUGUCACUGUGGGGUGGGCUUGGAGACACUCCUCCUAGCUGCCUGAGGAUGCUCAGUCUGUUCCUGGCUUCCUUCAGGUGAAGAUGUAGAACUCAGCUCCUCCUGCACCACGACUGCCUGGAUGCUGUGAUGCUGCCAUGCUCCUACCUUGAUGAUAAUGGACUGAACCUCUGAACCUGGAAGCCAGCCCUAAUUAAAUGUUGUCGUUUAUAAAAU